GGGAAAUCAAAGACUGGAUGAACGCUGGGGAAACUGACGGAGAGGUGAGCUCUGGAAAGGAGGAAGGAUACUUCCUGUUCCUACUGGAGUGACCCGCAGGUCUGAGGAGGAGUGAGGGAGUGAGAGAGAAGGCGGAGGAAGCGAUGUUCGUGUGGGUUUCCUCCUGGUGCUUCGGUUUCCCCCAGAGUCCAAAUGCAAGUAAUUUUGGAAACCGUAACCAUAGACUUCCAUGAAUUGGAGAAAAAACACCUUGUGAAACCUGCUGUGGAAGUAAAAGUACCCAUUGUGUGUGGAGCAAUGUUGUAAUAGACAAACAAGGACAAAAAUCUGCAUCUAAUCCUCUCAGGUGAGCAAUGACUCGGACCUGCAGAGUUAGCUGGAUGUCUGGUUCUCUUGGCUUCAGCCUGGAAAAGUGCUGAUUGUGGAAGGGUUGCUGGAGGAGCUCUCUCUUGGGCAGAUGGUGAGGAGACAGGGGGAGUUUUCACCCUGCUGCUUAGCC
ensembl:processed_transcript si:rp71-1h3.1 si:rp71-1h3.1